rnacentral:rRNA from 1 species
UGGGGAAUCUUCCGCAAUGGGCGAAAGCCUGACGGAGCAAUGCCGCGUGGAGGUAGAAGGCCCACGGGUCGUAAACUCCUUUUCUCGGAGAAGAAGCAGUGACGGUAUCCGAAGAAUAAGCAUCGGCUAACUCUGUGCCAGCAGCCGCGGUAAGACAGGGGAUGCAAGCGUUAUCCGGAAUGAUUGGGCGUAAAGCGUCUGUAGGUGGCUCCUUAAGUCCGCUGUCAAAUCCCAGGGCUCAACCCUGGACAGGCGGUUGAAACUACUAAGCUGGAGUACGGUAGGGGCAGGGGGAAUUUCCGGUGGAGCGGUGAAAUGCGUAGAGAUCGGAAAGAACACCAAAGGCGAAGGCACCCUGCUGGGCCGACACUGACACUGAGAGACGAAAGCUAGGGGAGCGAAUGGG